ACUAAGUUUCAACAACGGAUCUCUUGGCUCUCGCAUCGAUGAAGAACGCAGCGAAAUGCGAUAAGUAAUGUGAAUUGCAGAAUUCAGUGAAUCAUCGAAUCUUUGAACGCGCCUUGCGCUCCUUGGUAUUCCUUGGAGCAUGCCUGUUUGAGUAUCAUGAAAU
rnacentral:rRNA from 1 species